rnacentral:rRNA from 1 species
UACGGAGGGUGCAAGCGUUAUCCGGAUUCACUGGGUUUGAAGGGUGCGUAGGCGGACACUUAAGUCCGUGGUGAAAUCUCUGGGCUUAACCCAGAAACUGCCAUGGAUACUAUUUGUCUUGAAUGUUGUGGAGGUUAGCGGAAUAUGUCAUGUAGCGGUGAAAUGCAUAGAUAUGACAUAGAACACCAAUUGCGAAGGCAGCUGGCUACACAAAUAUUGACGCUGAGGCACGAAAGCGUGGGGAUCAAACAGG